UACGGGGGGGGCAAGCGUUGUUCGGAAUUACUGGGCGUAAAGGGCUCGUAGGCGGCCAACUAAGUCAGACGUGAAAUCCCUCGGCUUAACCGGGGAACUGCAUCUGAUACUGGAUGGCUUGAGUUCGGGAGAGGGAUGCGGAAUUCCAGGUGUAGCGGUGAAAUGCGUAGAUAUCAGUCGGAACACCGGUGGCGAAGGCGGCUUCUUGGGCCGUUCCUGACGCUGAGGCGCGAAAGCCAGGGGAGCGAACGGG
rnacentral:rRNA from 1 species